UCAAAGAAUGCAGAGAGAUUUUUCAGAAGGUCUCCUCGACAGGCAGGCAUACAAACUUAUAGAAAAAACAGGAAAGUCGAGGCUAGCCGGUGACAAUACCAGGAUCCACACUGGCUGAACGAAACACCAGAAGAAUAAAAGACGGACACCAAGCGGCAAUCUUUCCUUCAGUAUUUCUCCUCUUUUCCAUCCAAAGGUGUGCCCCAGUGCCAUAAAGCAACAUGACUGAAGACUGCUUAGAUAAAUCUGUGCAAGUGGAACAUGGAAACUGCUUGUCUUCAC